CCUACGGGUGGCAGCAGUGGGGAAUAUUGCACAAUGGGGGAAACCCUGAUGCAGCGACGCCGCGUGAGUGAAGAAGUAUUUCGGUAUGUAAAGCCCUAUCAGCCGGGAAGAAAUAGCGACCUUUGGGUCGCCAGACGGUACCUGACUAAGAAGCCCCGGCUAAAGACGUGCCAGCAGCCGCGGUAAUAUGUAGGGGGCAAGAGUUAUCCGGAUUUACUGGGUGUAAAGGGGGCGUAGACGGCAGCGCAAGUCUGAAGUGAAAUGCCGGGGCUUAACCCCGGAACUGCUUUGGAAACUGUGCGGCUAGAGUGCAGGAGAGGUAAGUGGAAUUCCUAGUGUAGCGGUGAAAUGCGUAGAUAUUAGGAGGAACACCAGUGGCGAAGGCGGCUUACUGGACUGUAACUGACGUUGAGGCUCGAAAGCGUGGGGAGCAAACAGGAUUAGAUACCCUAGUAGUC
rnacentral:rRNA from 1 species